GAUGAACGCAGGCGGCGUGCCUAAUACAUGCAAGUCGAGCGAACGGACGAGAAGCUUGCUUCUCUGAUGUUAGCGGCGGACGGGUGAGUAACACGUGGAUAACCUACCUAUAAGACUGGGAUAACUUCGGGAAACCGUAGCUAAUACCGGAUAAUAUUUUGAACCGCAUGGUUCAAAAGUGAAAGACGGUCUUGCUGUCACUUAUAGAUGGAUCCGCGCUGCAUUAGCUAGUUGGUAAGGUAACGGCUUACCAAGGCAACGAUGCAUAGCCGACCUGAGAGGGUGAUCGGCCACACUGGAACUGAGACACGGUCCAGACUCCUACGGGAGGCAGCAGUAGGGAAUCUUCCGCAAUGGGCGAAAGCCUGACGGAGCAACGCCGCGUGAGUGAUGAAGGUCUUCGGAUCGUAAAACUCUGUUAUUAGGGAAGAACAUAUGUGUAAGUAACUGUGCACAUCUUGACGGUACCUAAUCAGAAAGCCACGGCUAACUACGUG
rnacentral:rRNA from 1 species